UACGAAGGGGGCUAGCGUUGCUCGGAAUCACUGGGCGUAAAGGGUGCGUAGGCGGGGCUUUAAGUCAGGGGUGAAAUCCUGGAGCUCAACUCCAGAACUGCCUUUGAUACUGAGGAUCUUGAGUUCGGGAGAGGUGAGUGGAACUGCGAGUGUAGAGGUGAAAUUCGUAGAUAUUCGCAAGAACACCAGUGGCGAAGGCGGCUCACUGGCCCGAUACUGACGCUGAGGCACGAAAGCGUGGGGAGCGAACAGG
rnacentral:rRNA from 1 species